UCCGGCGUGGUCUAUAGUGGCUAGGAUACCUGGCUUUCACCCAGAAGGCCCGGGUUUGAUUCCCGGCGUCGGAA